rnacentral:piRNA from 1 species
UAGAUGGUAGAAAAAUGGGUA